UCGGUUGAUCCUGCCGGANNGACUGCUAUCGGAUUGAUACUAAGCCNUGCGAGUCAUUGUAGUAAUACAAGGCAGACGGCUCAGUAACGCGUAGUCAACCUACCUUAUGGACGGGGAUAACCUCGGGAAACUGAGAAUAAUACCCGAUAGAACAUUAUGCCUGGAAUGGUUUAUGUUUCAAAUAAUUUAUUGCCGUAGGAUGGGACUGCGGCCUAUCAGUUUGUUGGUGAGGUAAUGGCCCACCAAGACUAUUACAGGUACGGGCUCUGAGAGGAGUAGCCCGGAGAUGGGUACUGAGACACGGACCCAGGCCCUAUGGGGCGCAGCAGGCGAGAAAACUUUGCAAUGUGCGAAAGCACGACAAGGUUAAUCCGAGUGGUUUCUGCUAAAGGAACCUUUUGUCAGUCCUAGAAACACUGAUGAAUAAGGGGUGGGCAAGUUCUGGUGUCAGCCGCCGCGGUAAAACCAGCACCUCAAGUGGUCAGGAUGAUUAUUGGGCCUAAAGCAUCCGUAGCCUGCUUUGUUAGUUUUCGGUUAAAUCCAUAUGCUCAACGUAUGGGCUGCCGGGAAUACUGCAAAGCUAGGGAGUGGGAGAGGUAGACGGUACUCGGUAGGAAGGGGUAAAAUCCUUUGAUCUAUUGAUGACCACCUGUGGCGAAGGCGGUCUACCAGAACACGUCCGACGGUGAGGGAUGAAAGCUGGGGGAGCAAACCGGAUUAGAUACCCGGGUAGUCCCAGCUGUAAACUAUGCAAACUCAGUGAUGCAUUGGCUUGAUGCCAAUGCAGUGCUGCAGGGAAGCCGUUAAGUUUGCCGCCUGGGAAGUACGUACGCAAGUAUGAAACUUAAAGGAAUUGGCGGGG
rnacentral:rRNA from 1 species